AAACUUACCUGGCAGAGGAGAUACCAUGGAUCAUAAAGAUGUUUUUCCCAUGGAUAAUGCUUAUAGGGUGCACUCUAUUUGUGCUGUUCUGACCACCGUGAUUUCCCCAAAUGUGAGAAACUUGAUUGCAUAAUUUGUAAUAGUAGGGACUGUGUUAGCACUCUCCUCU
rnacentral:snRNA from 1 species